CCAAUAGCGUAUAUUAAAGUUGUUGCAGUUAAAAAGCUCGUAGUUGAAUUUCAGGCCUGGCUGGGCGGUCCGCCUUUUGGGUGAGUACUGCCUGUGGUCGGGUCCUACCUUCUGGCGACGCGUCAUGGCCUUCACCGGCCGUGGCGGGGAACCAGGACUUUUACUGGGAAAAAAUUAGAGUGUUCAAAGCAGGCAUUCGCUUGAGUACAUUAGCAUGGAAUGAUGGAAUAGGACAGUGGUUCUAUUUGUUGGUUUCUAGGACCGUUGUAAUGAUUAAUAGGGAUAGGUGGGGGCAUUAGUAUUCAAUUGUCAGAGGUGAAAUUCUUGGAUUUAUUGAAGACUAACUACUGCGAAAGCAUUUGCCAAGGAUGUUUUCAUUAAUCAAGAACGAAAGUUAGGGGAUCGAAGACGAUCAGAUACCGUCGUAGUCUUAACCAUAAACUAUGCCGACUAGGAAUCGGGCGAUGUUGACAAAAUGACGCGCUCGGCACCUCAUG
rnacentral:rRNA from 1 species